GAUGAAGAACGCAGCGAAAUGCGAUAAGUAAUGUGAAUUGCAGAAUUCCGUGAAUCAUCGAAUCUUUGAACGCACAUUGCGCCCCCUGGCAUUCCGGGGGGCAUGCCUGUCCGAGCGUCAUUUCUGCCCCCCAGCCCGGCUGGGUGUUGGGCGCUGUCCCCCCGGGGACACGCCCCAAAGGCAGUGGCGGCGCCGCGUCGGGUCCUCGAGCGUAUGGGGCUUUGUCACCCGCUCGGGACGGACUCGUCGGCGCUGGUCUUCCUCCAGGCGACCCUUCGGGGCUCGUCUUCCUUCGGUUGACCUCGGAUCAGGUAGGGUUACCCGCUGAACUUAAGCAUAUCAAUAAGCGGAGGA
rnacentral:misc_RNA from 1 species